rnacentral:rRNA from 1 species
GGAUUCAAAGACUUUGAAUUGUUCAAUCUAGCGAUGCUGGCUAGGCAAGCUUGGCGCUUAUUGCAGGGUCGAGACACACUGUGCGCUCGUGUUCUAAAGAGUAUCUAUUACCCAAACACGGACAUUCUUGAGGCCGAACUGGGGGGUCACCCGAGCCAGGUGUGGCGAGCCAUUAUCGAGGGUAAGGAUACUUUAAAAUAGGGUUUGAUCAGAUGCAUCGGCAACGGAGCAGACACCAACAAUUGGACACACAACUGGUUACCUCGAGAUGACAUGUUCAGGCCAUAUGAAAGCAUUGCACCGAACCCACCACGUAAAGUGUUUGAACUUAUUUUGAGUGCAACGGCCUCUUGA